UAAAAUGAGAAGGCUGCUGAUCUCUCUUCUACCUUUCCUUGCUGAUCACCUGAGACUUGCCCCACAGCCAUGGAGAAUCAGAUGAGGGCAAUGCUGAUCUAUCUGAAGUACAAAGACACCUUCCUCUUGACCGCUGUCCUUGGGUUGGGGAGGACGCAAGGUAGGAAGAGGAGAGGGCUGAGCCGAGACAUCCCCCACCAGAGAAGUCCAGCUGUCUCCUAACCUGCUGUUUGUGAGAAUCUGCCACCUGAGUUCUUUGGGUGCCUUAUUGGAGCACUUCAGCCAGUGGAUAGUG
rnacentral:lncRNA from 1 species